CUUAAGACACCGGUUCUCGUAUGAUCACUGAAGUUAAGCAAUGUCGAGCUUGGUCAGUACCUAGGUUGGUGACCGCUUGGAAAUACCAGG